rnacentral:rRNA from 1 species
AUACGAAGGGUGCAAGCGUUAAUCGGAAUUACUGGGCGUAAAGCGCGCGUAGGUGGUUUUGUAAGUUGGAGGUGAAAGCCCCGGGCUCAACCUGGGAAUUGCCUCCAAAACUGCAUGACUAGAGUACGGUAGAGGGUAGUGGAAUUUCCUGUGUAGCGGUGAAAUGCGUAGAUAUAGGAAGGAACACCAGUGGCGAAGGCGUCUACCUGGACUGAUACGGACCCUAAGUGCGAAAGGGUGGGGGAGAAAACAGGAGUAGAUCCCCUGUUAGUCCACGCCGUAAACGAUGUCAACUAGCCGUUGGGAUCCUUGAGAUCUUAGUGGCGCAGCUAACGCAUUAAGUUGACCGCCUGGGGAGUACGGCCGCAAGGUUAAAACUCAAAUGAAUUGGCGGGG